CAGGUACUCCACUAGAUGCAAUUACAGUGCCGACCUGGUUGGUUGAUGAUGUACAACAGAAUGCCGCUCAAAUACCAACGAAUUGCAAACGUAUCCGACUCUGGGUAGAAGAACUUUGAUUCUUUGAAGGCGCUGCGAAUUCGAAAUUCUAGAGGGUUUAAGUGACCAGUUUAACUCACUUGAUAGCCCAUUAAAACAUAAAUACGCAGUCUUAUGCAAGUUUGAGACGGAAUUAGGUAAAUUAAAUGAUGCUAUAUCAUUUGGGACGAUGCCGUCGGAAUUGAAAGAAAGGAGGGGAAGAGUCAACGAUGCAGUCAUUGGUUUAUCCAUAUCUGGCAUAGUAGGAGGAAUGAUUGGAAUUGUUGGUCUUGCUCUUAUACCAGUUUCAUUCGGGGCAUCAUUGCGUUUAACCAUUGCUGGUGUUGUGAUUGGUGCCUCAAGCGGAAUAGCGCAAGGAGGUUUCCGCAUUCACGAAGCGGUAAAGCAGAACCAAUGAACUGCUCAAAUAAGGGCAACGUUGGAAAAGGUAAGAGACGACUUUGAAAAAGCACUCACAGAUUUCACGGGAGAAUUCAACGUAGAUGCCUUUGAAAACAGCGGCCCUGAAAAUCCAGGUUUGAACAUUCGAGGAAGUUUCUCAAUAGGAGCGAUUUUACGAUCAGUUCAUAGCGGUGUUGGGAUAGGAUUGGCUGCUGCUAAAGUUGGGGCCUCCGCCGCAACAGCAGCGGCAUCCGUUCUAGCUCCAGUUGGUCUUAUCCUGGACUUUUCUUUUAUUGCAGACUCGCUGUGUGAUAUGCUUAAUGGUAAUAACACCGGAGCUUGAAGGCAACUUGAAUGUUUACGAGUAUUUCAGACUGUUGUUAAUGCAGCAUACAGGGGAAAUGCUGACUUAAGCACAAACAUUGUAGGAAGCAUAAUGCAUAACGACUAAAGGGUUAAGAAUAAAUAUACAUAUGAACAGGCUAAAUACUUUUGAAAACCGUAUUAUUAUCUGUUUAACUCAUUUAUUUCAUCCAUUGGCUGGCUUUAUUGUGUCAUUCGUAUCACAUAGGUAUUGUAGUUUUUAGCUCAACCCAAUAAAUGAAACGACACAACUGAUGCUUCAGCCGGAAAAAAAACCGUUUAGAUAAUCCCAUUCUACUACAUCUUAUUUUAGUGUAACCAUUUUGGUUAAAUGCCGAUUUUUUUUAAGUGGAUGAUGUUUCCACUACUAUCAUGUACAAUUGUUCCACUGGUCAUGCACUUGUAUGGUUAAAAGAAUUUUUGUAAAAACAAGAAUUACGACGCACAUUAAGAUUCGAUACUAGUUGAUUGAGUCAAUGAUGUUAUGCAAUUCAUUUUAAUAAUCGCAAUUCAGUGAAAGAAGCAUGAGAAAAAUUGGACAAAUACUGUUCAAUGGGUAGCAAAUGGGACAAAUACUGUGGAAUGGGCUACUCUAAAAAAAGAAACUAUCAGUUCGUUUUCAUAUAAAAGUCUCAAAAGUUUAUUCGUCAAAACUGUAAGUAAAACUUUUAAGUUUUAUUGAUGUGAUGGACUUGCUUAUGAGCUUUAAACUCGUUUGAAAUUAC